AUUGAACGCUGGCGGCAGGCCUAACACAUGCAAGUCGAGCGGAUGAAGGGAGCUUGCUCCUGGAUUCAGCGGCGGACGGGUGAGUAAUGCCUAGGAAUCUGCCUGGUAGUGGGGGAUAACGUCCGGAAACGGGCGCUAAUACCGCAUACGUCCUGAGGGAGAAAGUGGGGGAUCUUCGGACCUCACGCUAUCAGAUGAGCCUAGGUCGGAUUAGCUAGUUGGUGGGGUAAAGGCCUACCAAGGCGACGAUCCGUAACCGGUCUGAGAGGAUGAUCAGUCACACUGGAACGGAGACACGGUCCAGACUCCUACGGGAGGCAGCAGUGGGGAAUAUUGGACAAUGGGCGAAAGCCUGAUCCAGCCAUGCCGCGUGUGUGAAGAAGGUCUUCGGAUUGUAAAGCACGUUAAGUUGGGAGGAAGGGCAGUAAGUUAAUACCUUGCUGUUUUGACGUUACCAACAGAAUAAGCACCGGCUAACUUCGUG
rnacentral:rRNA from 1 species